rnacentral:tRNA from 1 species
AGACAUUAAACUUGCUAAGUAUAUAUUUUGAAAGUAUAAAAAAGAAUUAAAUUUCUAAUGUCUU